GACGAACGCUGGCGGCGUGCCUAAUACAUGCAAGUCGAGCGCAGGAAACUGACGGAACUCUUCGGAGGGAAGGCAGUGGAAUGAGCGGCGGACGGGUGAGUAACACGUAAGGAACCUGCCUCAAGGAUUGGGAUAACUCCGAGAAAUCGGAGCUAAUACCGGAUAGUUCAACGGACCGCAUGGUCCGCUGAUGAAAGGCGCUCCGGCGUCACCUUGAGAUGGCCUUGCGGUGCAUUAGCUAGUUGGUGGGGUAACGGCCCACCAAGGCGACGAUGCAUAGCCGACCUGAGAGGGUGAUCGGCCACACUGGGACUGAGACACGGCCCAGACUCCUACGGGAGGCAGCAGCAGGGAAUCUUCCACAAUGGACGAAAGUCUGAUGGAGCAACGCCGCGUGAGUGAUGAAGGUUUUCGGAUCGUAAAACUCUGUUGUAAGGGAAGAACACGUACGAGAGGGAAUGCUCGUACCUUGACGGUACCUUACGAGAAAGCCACGGCUAACUACGUGCCAGCAGCCGCGGUAAUAC
rnacentral:rRNA from 1 species